AUGAAGGCAGGAGGCCUUGCUCACUGGCGGCUCCAUGAAUAUUCAGCGGUCAGUCCGCAGACUAGGGGGGCCUCCAGGUUCCUUCCAUGGACUUGGAGCCGCCCCAUCUCCACCCACCUGUCAGAACCCGCCUUUCCUCCAUCCUUCCUUCAGCCUCAGCCCCUUUCGGGCAUUAGAGCCGGCUGGAGGCCGGAAGGAGAUAAGGGAGGGGAGGAGGGAGCGGGGCAGGGGAAGAAGGGAGGAGGGAGGGGGAGGGGAGAGGGGGAGGAGAGGAGCAGAGUCCGCCGACUGCACAGCCUCUCCCCUUGGCUUCUUGAGUCCGGUCCAAGUGCUCAGAUCAUCCCAUGCCUCCACCUCCCGGGGCUCGGCUGGCUGUUUGCUGUCCUCUUGCUCGCUGCUCCCCGGAACACGGUCGCCUCCCCGAGCUUGGAAGGAAACAGCCCCCAGAGCGGGGCGGGGCCGCGCCUUUCCCUUUUCCCACUUCCGUGUUUCCUCCUCCCCUCCCCCUCCCCUUCCUCCUCCUCGCUGUCCCUCUCCUCCGGAGCCUCGGCGUCCCGGGGACACCCACACUCACACGCGGUCUACACGGAGAGUUUCCUGACUGCCACGAACGAAUCGCGGGCCUCCUGGCCUCGCACACGCAGAUGUCGAAACACGCGCGGGCGGACCCGCACACACGAGCCCAGUCACGGCCACGAGCGAGCACUGAUCCCGCUUCUCUGUCCCGGGUGUGCGCGGGAGGGUGUCCACACGUGUGCGUGGGAGGCGGGGCUGCCCAGCGAGGGGGCUGCUGCAGGAGGUGGGGGGGCACGUGUCCCCCAGAGACCAGGACCGGGGUCCGCGAGCCGCCACUCCCCACCCGGAUGGCACUUCGAGGGGCUGCCAAACGCCCUCCGCCCUCCAGCCGGCUCCGGGUUCUCGGGGCUCCCUCUGUCUGUGGUGCCGUCUUGGGCUUUCCCUUCCUCCACCUCCCUACCUGUGUCUCUCUCACACACUCCCACAGACACACUCACACUCACGCACACUCCCAGACACACUCACAUUCACGCACACUUUCAUACACUCCCACAAACACACACUCAUACUCACUCUCACACUCACACUCACGCACACUCCCGCACACUCCCACAGACACACACUCACACUCACGCACACUCAUACUCACACACACACUCACUCAUGCACACUCCCACAGACACACUCACACACUCAUACUCACACUCAUACUCACACUCACACACACACUCACACUCACACACACUCCCACAGACACACUCACUCACACAGACACCCCCCACUAAAGCAGCCCACCUUAGCGGGACAGUAGGCCAAGCUCAGCUGCUCCUGGUCCGCUCCACUCCCCACCCUCAUCUCCCUUCUCCCGGCUCCUCCUCCGGCUCCCUCAGUUUCUUCAGCUGUGAAGAAGACAGGCGGAUCAGGGGGCCGGAGGGCCAGGGAGAGGGAAAAGGCAGGCCCAGAGGCUUCCAGGAAGAGGCAGGAUUGGCAGGCGGCUCAAGAGCCCGGUUGGGUCCUGUUUUCAAUGGAAAGGAAUGA
ensembl:lncRNA